GCGGGUUUAGCUCAGUUGGGAGAGCGUCAGACUGAAGUCAACUUCAUUAGCUUAAAAUCUGAAGGUCAUGUGUUCGAUCCACAUAAACCGCA